rnacentral:rRNA from 1 species
AGUGAACGCUGGCGGUAGGCCUAACACAUGCAAGUCGAACGGCAGCACAGUAAGAGCUUGCUCUUACGGGUGGCGAGUGGCGGACGGGUGAGGAAUACAUCGGAAUCUACUUUUUCGUGGGGGAUAACGUAGGGAAACUUACGCUAAUACCGCAUACGACCUACGGGUUAAAGCAGGGGAUCUUCGGACCUUGCGCGAUUGAUUGAGCCGAUGUCGGAUUAGCUAGUUUGCGGGGUAAAGGCCCACCAAGGCGACGAUCCGUAGGUGGUCUGAGAGGAUGAUCAGCCAAACUGGAACUGAGACACGGUCCAGACGACUACGGGAGGCAGCAGUGGGGAAUAUUGGACAAUGGGAGGAAGCAUGAUCCAGCAAUACCGCGUGGGUGAAGAAGGCCUUCGGGUUGUAAAGCCCUUUUGUUGGGAAAGAAAAGCAGCAGGUUAAUACCCCGAUGUUCUGACGGUACCCAAAGAAUAAGCACCGGCUAACUUCGUG